GAGGAGCGUUCCGCAUAGGGGGAAGCCAAGCGCGUAAGCAGCGGUGGACAGUGCGGAAGUGAGAAUGUCAGAUUGAGUAACGAAAACAUUGGUGAGAAUCCAAUGCCCCGAAAACUUAAGGGUUCCUCUGCAAGGCUCGUCCGCAGAGGGUUAGUCAGGACCUAACAUGAGGCCGAAAGGCGUAAUGGAUGGCAAGAAGGUUUAUAUUCCUUCACUAUUGUUUUCUUAGUCCUGAGGGACGAACAAAUGCACACCUUUUUUGUGUCCAGGCUUGGCAGCUUGGAAGUCACACACUAAUGGUUGGGUAUUUUUUCCAAGAAAAGCUCAUUCGACUUUGAGAAAAAAAUACCUGUACCGUAAACCGACACAGGUGAGUAGGUUGAAUAAACUAAGGGGAGCGAGAUAACUCUCUCUAAGGAACUCGGCAAAUUGGCUCUGUACCUUCGGAAGAAAGAGUGCCCUGUAAAGGGCCGCAGUGAAGAGAUCCAGGCGACUGUUUACCAAAAACACAGGUCUCCGCAAAGUCGCAAGACGAAGUAUGGGGGCUGACACCUGCCCAGUGCCAGAAGGUUAAAGAAGUUGGUCAAUCUUCGGAUGAAGCUGACAACUGAAGCCCUGGUGAACGGCGGCAGUAACUAUAACUGUCCUAAGGUAGCGAAAUUCCUUGUCGGGUAAGUUCCGACCCGCACGAAAGGUGUAACGAUCUGGAUACUGUCUCAGAGAGAGACUCGGUGAAAUAAAACUAUCUGUGAAGAUGCGGAUUACCUGCACACGGACAGAAAGACCCUAUGAAGCUUUACUGUAACCUGGAAUUGCUCUCAAGCUUAUUUCGCGCAGCUUAGGUGGGAGACGUUGAACCUUUUCUUCCGGGAAAGGGGGAGUCAUCAGUGAGAUACCACUCUUGGUAAGCUAGAGCGCUCAUUUUUAACCGUUAUCCGGUAAAAAGACAGUUUCAGGCGGGCAGUUUGACUGGGGCAGUCACCUCCCAAAAGGUAAUGGAGGUGUACAAAGGUUCCCUCAGGCUGGACGGAAAUCAGCCAUAGAGUGUAAAAGCAUAAGGGAGCUUGACUGCGAGACGGACAUGUCAAGCAGAGACGAAAGUCGGUUUUAGUGAUCCGACGGUGCUGAGUGGAAAGGCCGUCGCUCAACGGAUAAAAGUUACUCUAGGGAUAACAGGCUAAUCUCCCCCAAGAGUUCACAUCGACGGGGAGGUUUGGCACCUCGAUGUCGGCUCGUCGCAUCCUGGAGCGGAAGUACGUUCCAAGGGUUGGGCUGUUCGCCCAUAGAAAGCGGUACGUGAGCUGGGUUCAGAACGUCGUGAGACAGUUUGGUCCAUAUCCUGUGUAGGCGUUUAGAGCAUUGAAAGGAUCUCCCCUUUGUACGAGAGGACCAGGUGGGGACAGACCGCUAGUGUACCAGUUAUCCCACCAGGGGUAAACGCUGGGUAGCUAUGUCUGGAGUAAAUAACUGCUGAAAGCAUAUAAGUAGGAAGUUCACCUUAAGAUGAGUGCUCUUUUGUCUCAACCGUUCAGUUUUACUGACAAAUGAAAGACAAGGAAGGUCACGGCAAGACGAGCCGUUUGAUAGGCAUGAAGUAGAAGUGCAGUAAUGCAUUCUGAAGCUGACAUGUGCUAAUAGACCGAGGGAUUUGAUUUU
rnacentral:rRNA from 1 species